rnacentral:rRNA from 1 species
CCUACGGGUGGCUGCAGUGGGGAAUAUUGCACAAUGGCGGAAACCCUGAUGCAGCGACGCCGCGUGAGUGAAGAAGUAUCUCGGUACGUAAAGCUCUAUCAUCAGGAAAGAAAAUGACGGAACCUGGCUAAGACGCCCCGGCUAACUACGUGCCAGCCGCCGCGGUAAUACGUAGGGGGCACGCGUUUUCCGGCUUUACUGGGUGUAAAGGGAGCGUAGACGGCGCUGCAAGUCCGGAGUGAAAGCCCAUGGCUUAAGCAUGGUACUGCUCUGGAAACUGUAGAGCUUGAGUGCGGGAGGGGCAGGAGGAAUGCGUGGUGUAGCGGUGAAAUGCGUAGAUAUUAGGAGGAACACCGGCGGCGAAGGCGGCCUGCUGGACCGUAACUGACGUUGAGGCUCGAAAGCGUGGGGAGCAAACAGGAUUAGAUACCCCAGUAGUC